GACGAACGCUGGCGGCGUGCCUAAUACAUGCAAGCAGAACGCUGAAGAGAGGAGCUUGCUCUUCUUGGAUGAGUUGCGAACGGGUGAGUAACGCGUAGGUAACCUGCCUUGUAGCGGGGGAUAACUAUUGGAAACGAUAGCUAAUACCGCAUAACAAUGGAUGACACAUGUCAUUUAUUUGAAAGGGGCAAUUGCUCCACUACAAGAUGGACCUGCGUUGUAUUAGCUAGUAGGUGAGGUAAUGGCUCACCUAGGCGACGAUACAUAGCCGACCUGAGAGGGUGAUCGGCCACACUGGGACUGAGACACGGCCCAGACUCCUACGGGAGGCAGCAGUAGGGAAUCUUCGGCAAUGGGGGCAACCCUGACCGAGCAACGCCGCGUGAGUGAAGAAGGGUUUCGGAUCGUAAAGCUCUGUUGUAAGUCAAGAACGGGUGUGAGAGUGGAAAGUUCACACUGUGACGGUAGCUUACCAGAAAGGGACGGCUAACUACGUG
rnacentral:rRNA from 1 species